rnacentral:lncRNA from 1 species
AUGUAAAAUAUGCAAUAGUUCAAAGACUUUUCCCAAAAAAAGUAAUGUAAAAAUAUCUCAAUUUUUAUACUGCUUAUCCAUUGAAAUGAUAAUAUUUAUAUAACAUUAAAUAAAAUAUUUUAUGAAAAUUAACAUUACCUGUUCCAUUUUACUUUUUUAAUAUGGGUACUAGAAGUUUUAAAAUUACAUAUGUGGCUUACAUUUGUCAUUCACGUUGUGUUUGUAUUGCUCAGCACUGAUCUAGACCAUUUGCAUGCUAAUUCUCCUGUGUGACAUAUCUAUUUCUUAUUUCCUCAAAUCCAAAAACUAUCCUACUCAAUCAUGACCUUCUCCUUAAACUCUUUUUAGAUCUCUUCCUUUAAAGAGUGUGCUCUCUUCUCUAAAUUCUAAUGGCAUCUUUCAUCUGACCUCACAAUCUCUUCUAAUGCCUCUACUUGGAUGUAAGUUACUAGCAAGUAAGGUCUAUGUAUAGUUUUACGUAUGUUUGUCACCUGCAAAACAACCACCAUGGAGCUUUUGGAAAAUAUCAGUAAAAUGUUAUUAGACAAGUACCACUGCUUGCUGCCAUUCCUGGUUGCUUGAUGGCAGUAGGGUGUCUUGGCUAAGUGCUCCGCUUCUCUAAUUGCUGUGGGCCAGAGAAGUCAGUCUUUCAACAAAGGCCUAUAAAGUGGAAUUAGCCAUACACUUUCUUGUUAUUUUAUUAAACCAUUAUAAUUAUCCCAGGAAAACUGGAAAACCUAUGAAUACACAGAAAACUAGCAAAUUUGUAAGUUGGUUUUAACAUCAAUGGGUUCUCUGGCUACCUCCUCUCUAUUUCUACAAUAAAGUGUCUUUCUCAUUUACUAUUUUAACUGUUUACUAUCUGUCUUAUCAUUGGAAUACAUGCUUCAGAAAUUGGCAUACUGUCAUUGUGUUCACUCUUCGCACCCCAGUGACUCCUCAGUGAAUGGUACUCUGUAGACACUCAAUAAAUAUUUGUCGAAUCAAUGAAUAGAGGUGGAAAACUGAAUAACAGAGCUAGAAAUAGUGACUAGUAUAGUCUUGAUCCAUAGAUUAUAUACUAUACCUUUUAAAUUUUAUUUUUUAAUUGGCAAGUAAUAAUUGUACAUAUCCAUGGGAUGCAUAGUGGUGUUUUGAGACAUACAACGUGUAGUAAUCAGAUACAUUAUACUUUUAAAGAACUCUCAGAAAUAGGAAUUUUCAGUAGUCAGUACUAACUUGUUCAGGAUAUCCUCAAGUGUAACAAAACUUUUUUUUCUUGGCUCUAAUUUAUGUCUUCCCUUUAUUCAACCUUCUCUGUAGUAUAGGAGUUGGUAACCUGCACGAUCCCUGCUUUUGAGUUUAAUCUAAGAAUAUCUACAAAGUCAAUGACGCACUGAAUCCCAGCAGUUAUAUACUCUGAAGAUGACAACUUUCUCCAAAGUUUGAAGACAGAUGAUGAAAUAUUGAAAUGUUUCAGAAAUAGACUUCUCAGAGUUGCUUUUUAGUUUUCAUGGGAGAAGAGAGAAAUAUAUAGUGAUAAAUUAAUUAAUUAAAUCAUAGCUAGUAAACUCAUACUUAAAGUGAGACAUCCCAUAGCUCAGUCAAUAUGAAUAUUAGAAUUUUUAGAAGAAAAUAUUACAGUAUCAUUCUUUUAAAAAAACAGAACAUAUUGUAUUUAAGACAUACAAGAUAAGCUCUUGUUCAUUUAAGACCAAAGCUUAUAGCUAAAGUGAACUUCUGCUCUAAAAUUUAAUCUUUUCUCCUCAAACUAAAUGUAUCAGACAUCACUUAGUAAAUUGUAAUAACUACAGCCAAAUAUGUACAAAUAUGACUAACCCGAGAGUUGGCGCCAAACUAGUUUUGACCUUUCAUUGUAAAAUGAUCCUUUAUGGUCUUCCAAAAGACGUGGACGUGUUUUAGUGGCCACAAACAACAAUUCAAAUGUCAUGUUGUAAAAUAAAGUGAAAACAAAGCUUCUUACAUAGGAAACGAAUUUUAAUUAAGGUCAAGAAUCUUAUCUGCAUUAGAGUUUAUAUUUGUUCUAGCCUAUACUGAACCUGUUUGAUGGUUCAUUCUUAGCUUUGAAUGACUUAAAGGCUCUCACAACAUUAAGGGCAUGAAAGUUAACCUACUUUAAUUAAAUCUGAUAGUUGAUUGAAAGUAAAUAAUACUUUGAAAUAAUUUCUAACUAUGGAGAUUGAAGAAGCCGCUCCAGAAUCAUUUCAAUUGCUACCAAAUUAACCCCUCCCAGAGAGGAAUGGAUAAUGACAUCAACCCUUUGAACCUAUUGAAAACUAAUCUAAUUAGAGACAUUUUGCUGAAAGGCAAGAGUAGAUAAAAGAAGAAGGAGAGAGAGCAAAAAUUGCAGCAACUUUUUUGGGGGGUCUGGCUCUUGUAAAAUGUAUUAGUCACAAAAAGUAUAGAAACACCUUUAGGAAACUUUCUUUUCUUGUACCCACUAACGACUCAAGGAACUCAAUUAAAUCAAGAUAUUUCUAGUCUUCCAAAGAUAGAUAAGAGGAAGAGAAGAAAGGAGAUAUGAAUAAAGGAAAAAGGGAAAGGAAAGGAAAAGCUUUUAGUUAUUGAGCAAUUCCUUUGUAUCAGAAUUCCAUUAAGGGCUUUUCAUAGAUUAGCUAAUACAAAUCUUACAUAAGAAAAUUAUUAGUAUCCCCAUUUCAUAGAUGAAGAAACAAAGGCACAGAAAGGUAAAAUGGUGAGUAAUUUUCCCAGAAUCAGACAGUUAUCUAAAAGCAACACUGUGAUUUUAAACUCGGGUCUAGUCUACUAAUGCCUUCAUUCUUUUUAAGUAUUACUCCAAAUGGCUUCCAAUAAUAAUGAAAAAUAACAGCAAAACUUCCAGGAAAUGCUCUAAGCAGUGUUCCUACCCACAUCCUCUAAACAUAAUUUUCUGGAUGUGAUAAAAUUUAGUAAUUUCACCCAGUUUAUUACUUGCCUUGGGGAGAUUCAAAUGAAGGCAGAACUGUAAAAAUUACAAUGAUGAUAUGACACAAAAUACACAUUUAAUAACUAUUUACUCUUCAUAAUUAUGAUAAAAACUACAAAUGUGUAACUUAAAUGGAAUAGUUUACUAAUUUGUUUUAGACUUAACACUAAACACUUACUAAGGAGAUAAUCUUGUUUCUACUAGAAUACGUUUGGUCAGAAGCAGAAGUUGACCACAUGAUGGAAAAUACAAUUAUUAGGUGAGUGAACACUGGCCUUGGGAUGAGGCUAUGCAGGUUUAUGUCUAACACACUCAGAGCCAGCUACUCAUAAUUAUUUGAAUUGAAUGUGAGUCUAUAUCUAUCCACUAUAUCUAUCCACUUUUGCUCAUAAGUGGAAAUUGGUUUAUUUGUUAAUAAUUUAAAUGAAGGAAAGCAACAAAAGAGUCAAAGUUGAUUAAACUGGCAAUCCCAUUAGAAAUGGACAAAUCUUAAUGUUUCAAGUAUAUGAGUUGACUAUUCUAUAAGCAUAAUAAACCAUUACAAAAAUGAAAAUGUCAUCUAAGUGUUGAUAACUAGAAAAUCAGGAAGCAGGUGUGGCAGUUCUAUUUAGCUAAACUAAUCCAACUAGACCUCACUUAAGGACAAAUUUAUUUGAUAAGCUUACCUGAUGUUUUAUCUCUGACAUAACCUGAUUUUCUGUAUCUGCAAUCAUAUCAUCCUACCCUUCAACUUAUAAAAAAACAAUUAAUUCUAUUUAAAUUACUGUAUAAUAGUGUUCUCUCUAAAGCAUACACAGGCACCCAUUUGAAAAGCAGUGUGUAUAAUUAUAAAGGU